UUCGUUUUUCCUUUUUUAUUCAAAAUAUUCAUAAACUUGCUUACCAUAUAAUCAACUAUCUGAUAUUCCGAUUCACAAAUAUGUGCAAAUGAGUGUGUUUUAUCGUUUAAAAACAGUUCUAAAUUAUCUUAAUCGUGAUCUGUAAUGUGAUAUGGGCGCCGCCAUGUUUGUUCGCGCUGCAGUUCAGAGAGUCCUGUCAGUCGGAUUUACAUCACGAAAUUCAUCAAUUUCUCGCAAAAUACAUGCAAGCAUGAACAACAGUCUCUGAUUGGAAGACCGAAGUGAUCUACUGGAAAAAUGUUCAAUCAAAAGAUCAGAGAGGAACACCUUGAAUACGGACCAGAGCACACACCUCACACAGGUGGAGGAACAGACUUCGGGAGCCGAUCACUGGAGCAGACAGACUGGGGCACACUGUAGACGCACGGCUGGAGAGAACAAUGGAGGUAAGUACACAAGGAGGUAAGAAGCAGGUAAGUCGCUGUGAUAGCAUAAGGAGUCUACUUCGUAUGAACGAGACCAGACAAUGAGGUGUUGUGAGGUUUGUGCUUAUAUGCCGGUGUUGAUUGGUGAUGUGGCUGAUUAGAACUCGGGUGAGAGAGUGCGUUGUGACUGGCUGGUGACAGAGCCUGGUAGAUCCGUAACAAUAACAAAGCACUGUAAAGACUAGACACCUUGGCAGCAAUACAUAAUCGUGAAUAACCUUUAAAGAAUUUUUUUUAAUUCAGAUUAUUCACCAGGCUGUCACUUCUAGUUGGAUGUGUGUGUACUUGAAUGCCAUAGCAUGUAGCAUGAUCAAUCAUAAAAUCAGUAGCCUAACAGUUCGCAAUUAAAUUCAUAUCCUACCUUUUCUUGUAACCCGAUGAAAUCAAUCCAUGGCGCUGAACGACGUCGGAGAUGUUUAAUCCACAAGCGUUUCUGAGCAUGCCUGCUUGCAUUCACAUAAAUCUACAAGUCGUUCUUUUAGGUUAGGCUAUUCCAUACAAGUCAAUAUAAGCAAUUAUGCUAUGUCCAGCAUUC